CCGCCGCCGCCGCCGCCGCUGCUGCUCCUCCUCCUCCUCGUCCUCCUCCUCCUCCUCCUCCUCCUCUGCCUCCUCCCCUCGCGCUCCGCGCUGCCUGGCAGCCGAGGCGGGGAGAGUGCAGGUACUUUGCCUUCCGGAUAAUUUGCAGGACCCCAGCAAGCUUUCGGAGCGCCCCUGGUCUCUGCCGUCUCUGCCCCCUUCUUCCGGAACCGAGACGAUCCCACUUUUGCAAGCGACGGAACCUGAAGCAUCCUAAGCCAAGGCAAAGCCCGACGGGCGGCCGUGCAUGUGCUGUCCUUUCUUGCAGUUUAUUCUGGGCCUGUGUGGAAUAGAAAGACAAUUCUUGGACUGGUGGGAAAGAAAAGAGAAGACUCCUCAGGGUUUCCAAGGAGGACUGGAAGCACCGCUUUGGUGAAGAAAUGGAGAAUCAAAGAAGUAAAGGACCUGCCAAAGAUCCACACUACUAGGAAAUCUUGAGGAGUUUGACACUUUUCAUCCUCUGGUCAUUAAGCGUUGUGUGGGGAAAAGCUAUCCACUGAUAGGAAUAAAAAGCAAGCAGUUCCUGGCCUGUGAUAUUCCAGCUAAGGGAGUCUGACUG